ensembl:lncRNA
GGGUAUGCACCUUGAGAUGCGUAGCUUGUCUUGAUUAUCCAAGUGGGCCCAAUUGUUGGACGAGGUCAUAGAGAGGUCAUAGCCGGCAAGCUGACCCACUAGCUGGACCCAGGGCAAUCAGAACCUCCUCACCCUUCUCCUGUCCUUGGGUUGUACGUGUGGCCCACCAUUCCCACACUAGGAGCUGUUUCAAGAACAUAGCCUUGAGAGAGUAAGAUGUUGGGACCAUCUGGACUGAAUGCAUGACUGACCCCGUUAAGGCCUCUAUAAAACUUAAGAUCCUGGGGGGUAAGGGCAGAGAUCUACUCAUCUUGCAGCCACCCAAGACAAACUUCGUUUGUAAGUUCCCUGGUUUAUUAAAACUGCCACCUCCCAAUCUGGAUCCGCCUCUCCCCUUGGUUUCUCCUGGUCCUCCAUGUUAGGGGGCCAGCUAGUUUCAGAUUUCACCCAGAAAGCUCCGGAGUUUUCGAACCAACGCCAAUCUAAUCAUAGGGGUUCUUAAAAGUGGAGAACAUUUUCCAGCUACAGUCAAUCAGAGAUUCAACAAGAGAAGGACCUAACCCACUGUUGCUGGCUUUGAAGAUGGAGGAAGGAGACCAUAAACCAAAGAAUGUGAAUGUCUCAAGAAGCUGCUUCUGGAGGAAACAGAUUCUCCGCCAGAGCCUCCAGAAGGAUCACAGCUCUGCAGACGCCUUGAUUUUGCCCAGUGAGACCCAUGCUGGACUUCCAACCUGCAGAACUCAAAGUCUACAUUCCUAUCUUGGAGAAUUUCAAAACAAGAGAUACACUCUGUACAUACCUGAAGGGAAAUCGCAAGCAAUCAUAAGUAAAAGAGCAACAAAACCCCAGCAACACGAAAGAAAUGUUACUCAACUCUUUCAGAAGGGCGACGUCUCGUAGAAGAAGAUAAGAAACAACCUUACAGUGGGAGAAUCUUCCAGCCCACAAGCAAGGAACGGAGAGUGACCCCUGGCAAACAGCCUGCAAACAACUGAGAAUUUCAGUCAACACCAUGCAACGAAUGAAAUCCUGCCAACAAACCCUGAGUGAUCUUGGAAGGGGGUCCUGACUCAGUAGAACCUUGAGAUGAAUGUGGCCCUAAUUGCAGCCUGAUUGCAGCCUCCUGAGACCCUGAGUCAGAGGGGCCAUGACCAGGUCCUGAUCCAUAGAAAGUGUGAGAUCAUAAAUGUGUGACAUUUUAAGCUGCAAAAUUUUGGUGUAAUUUGUUAUGCAGCAAUAGAUAAUUAAUACAGUAAUAAUAAAAAGAAACAAGAUAGGGAUCUGAAGACUAGAACCCAAAUGUGAAGAGAUUGCAGUGGAAGGAUGAAAAUCAAUGAAAGACAGGAGGAAAAAGGCAGCAUUACUCUGGAUGCAAUCAGGAGUACAUGGAGGAACUCAGAGAAGACAAAGUUCUAAUCUCUCCAUACACCUAUCGUUGAAGAUUGACUCAACCAGAUUUCAAAGCAAUAUGUCAUGAACACUUUGGUACUUAAAAUAGCACGUCUGAGUCAUAUUUGAGUCUGAGUCAUAUUCUGUCUUUACUUUAAAUAAAAUAAAUGUAUUGGAGCCACACGGACUUGGAUUUGCAUACUAGUUCUGUCAUACACAUUUUUCAACUUGACCCCCCAAAACAAACUGAAGAAGAAAGACUGAAAAAGAGAGAUCCUUUUUUUCAUCUUAAGUUAUUAUGCUUUUCAAAUUCAAUUCUUUUUAUUUAUUUGUUUGUUUAUUUUUUGAGGAAGAUUAGCCCUGAGCUAACUACUGCCAGUCUUCCUCUUUUUUGCUGAGGAAGCCUGGCCCUGAGCUAACAUCCAUGCCCAUCUUCCUCUCCUUUAUACGUAGGAUGCCUGCCACAAUAUGGCUUUUGCCAAGAGGUGCCAUGUCCACACCCAGGAUCCAAACUGGGGAACCCCGGGCCGCCAAAGCGGAACAUGCACUCUUAAAUGCUGCGCCACCAGGCCAGCCCCUCAAUUCCUUUUAUUUUUAAAAAUUGGACUCAUUCUCUUUAUUUUGUUUUUGGACUGUUCUCUGUUAUGUCUAUAUUGUUAGGAUUCCUCUCCUUCUAUCUCAAAAUUAACAACCUUUGCCAGGUUACUUGAUUAAAUCUCUGCACUAUACAUAUGGAUUAUAUCUACACUGUUAUUAAAUUUCAUUAAAUAAUGGAUAAACUUAGCCAUCAUCAGGGGGAAAAAAAGAUUUUAGGAAAAUGCCAAACCAAACCAAACAGAGAAGUAAACAAUCUGGACCAGUUUUCAGUUUCCCCUGUGAUAUCCAACUUUGCUGAUCACCAAUUUUUCUCUAUUUGUGGUCAAAAUAUAAUCCGAACCAGGGCUAACAAUUUUAUAGAUCAUGAUCUUGGAUAGUAGGGAAAUAGUAGGAGAGCACAUGGCUGUAUCGGCUGUACCGGCACAAAACUCCCAGCACUUUAGAAAGUCUCCUUGAGGAUAGGCAUGCAUAUAGGUGGAUACGUAAAGGAUAAUAUGCAUUACUCAACUCUCACUGCAGUCCUUCCUGAAACUCUCUUCCAAGCCGUAAAUUCACCUCAAAUCCUCUUAUAGGUACUCUACCCAGCAUCUAAUGUUAACUCU